AAAUGGCUCUACUUAAUUUCAGCUGUAGAGGCUCUUUAGAUCUUAAAAAUCUUGACUUACAGAUUAUGCUAACAGGACCCUGAAGUUGUCUUGUGUGAGGAUAGUCCAGUGACUGGCAAAUACAGAAGUGGAUGCUCACAAUCAUCUAUUGGAUGGAACACAGGACCCCCAAUGGAGGAGCUAGAGAAAGUACCCUAGGAACUGAGGAGGUUUGAAACCCUAAAUAAG
rnacentral:lncRNA from 1 species